rnacentral:rRNA from 1 species
CCUACGGGAGGCUGCAGUGGGGAAUAUUGCACAAUGGGGGAAACACUGAUGCAGCGACGCCGCGUGAGUGAAGAAGUAAUUCGUUACGUAACGCUCUAUCAGCAGGGAAGAAAAUGACGGUACCUGAGUAAGAAGCCCCGUCUAACUACUUGCCAGCAGCCGCGGUAAUACGUAGGGGGCAAGCGUUAUCCGGAUUUACUGGGUGUAAAGGGAGCGUAGACGGUGCGCCAAGUCUGGAGUGAAAUGCCGCCGCGUAACUGCGGAACUGCUUUAGAAACUGGCGAACUAGAGUGCGGGCGGGGUAAGCGGAAUGCCUAGUGUAGCGGGGAAAUGCGUAGAUAUUAGGAGGAACACAGGUUGCGAAGGCGGCUUACUGGACCGUAACUGACGUUGAGGCUCGAAAGCGUGGGGAGCAAACAGGAUUAGAUACCCUUGUAGUC